GCCUAAAUGACUGCCAGUAUAUUUUGGCAGCCAUGCUCAACAGACCUGCUCACAGGCCAACGUAUUCAAAAGCUCCAGGAAAAAAAAAAAAAAAAAGCCAUUUUCCUCUCUCCACCACAUACCACACUUCUGGGAUUCUGAAAUAUCUUACCAAGCACUUUAUUCAAUCUAAAUUUAAAUAGAAGUUUUCCCCACUUCCCAAGAGAGAAACAACAACGAACUAGAUGAGAAUGAGAGGAACUGGAAGAAGGGUCAGAUGAAAGUGAGAUCCAUACAUCCUUCUUCAGCAACUUGUGCCUCUGCUCUGCACCUCCCGCAAUUAACUACUGAAAAAAGAACACAGCUUCACAAAAGAGAUUGUAAAAUCAGGAAGUAUAUCUAAGUCACCUCCAGUAGCCGUAACUCUACCUUGUCCAGUAAAAGUGCUGCUUGUUGCUGACGUUUCUGCCCAAACAUCAUGAAAUGUGGAGAAGAAAGAACACUCAGAUGUGCCCUGGAGACUUUCCUUUUAUUUUUAAACAGUUUUUUUUUCCAUUGGGUUUGACCAACUCUAUAUUCGACUUGAACAAAUCCGAAGGAAAGCUUCCAAUUAUGGGGAACAAGUCCUCUGAAGUGGCUAAAUUCCCACACACACAAAAGAAAAGAUGAGUCUAUGCCCAGGACCACCAGAUAAUUGAGUCCUGUACAAAAGCUUCUGACUAAACAAUGUGCUCUGGCUCAGGACUAUACAGAGAAAAGACACAGUUUUUAAAUUGAUCGUUCAAAAGGAAACAUAUUUAUGAUAUUUGCUCCAUGAUAUGUAUCUCUCAUCUGUUAGCUCAGGCAGAAUUAAAAUGCUAGACAAUAAUGUUCCAUGCCACUAUGCUUACUCGGGUCUCUCACAUUGGUGUACUUCUGGCACAAAGUCACAUGACAUUUGAGUAAUAGCUGUCUCCCAUGUGGACUUUACACCACAUGAUGUCAGGGGCCAUUCAUUCUAUUCCAAUUACAUAAAUCAUAGAUUAGGAUAGGUCUUGGCAAGGACUGGGUACUAUAUGAAUAUUUUUGAGUAAAUGUAUGAGCACAAAAUAUUUUAUGUGGUUAUGUAUCUAGUAAAACAUGCAAGGCUAACAUAUCCUCUUUCAUUAGACUUCAAGAAAACUCCAGCGAAUAUUUAUCAGAAAAAGAAAACCAGGAAAAAUGAAAGAAGUAAUAAAAUUAAAAUCUCGUACAGACCAAAAAUAAAUGAUACAGAGCAUUUAGGUAGUCAGAAGCUGUGCUAACUGGUUUCCAAACAAGGUAAAGAACAGCCUGCUAGGAACACACUGUAUCUCAAAGGGCAAAACAAUAACGUCAAACCUUUCUCCUCUGCAUUGCAAAUACCAUUUGCAUUUCAAUGACACUACACUCUAAAGAAUAUGCUCUACUAAGUUUGUUAGAUAAGCCGCAUGUGCUGUGUUUCAAAUCACAUAGUAAUAAAAGUGUUCCAGUUCUUUGAUAGAUUUACGUAAUUCCCUAACUGGACUACCAUUGAUUCCCCUUAAGAAAGGUAUAUAGACUCUCUAUGAAAAAUAGAGUUUCUUAAAUCCAGCUUCCUAUGUGGAAAGUAUUAUUACUUUAUAGGAAAAUAAUUUCUAGCUGUUUUCCUGUUGUUCCCAAGAGUCUUUCCAAUUUCUUUAUAUAUCUGUCUUAGAAUGUUCAAUUUUCUCAAGCCCCUUAAAAAAUCAUUCUUGCUUUUCUACUCAUUUCCACUUGUUAAACUUGACCCAGUUUUCUCUUGGUUUCAUAUUUUACCAUUCAACUUUUAUUCCACUCUCUACCCUCUCCAACUCCCCUAAAUAAAUUGUUUUUUCAGGUCAUAAUACCCCUAUUUGUUUUUCCUACACAACGGGUAAGCUCAGAUGGAACAUUAUCGAAUGGUGAAAAGCAUAAGUUUGUCUUAGGACACAAAGUUUCUAACAAAGAUUGAUUCUUCUCAUAUGAAAUAACUGCUUCUUUAUACUUUUCAUGGCAUUUUAGAAUACAGGGUAGGAUUGCAGUCCCUGAAAUGUACCAAUUCUGAAUUAAACUAAUUAAUUAAUUAAUUUUCUUAGCACCCCACAGAGAUUGUGCCAUCACUUUUUUGUAUCAUGCUGCCCCUGAUUUUCCUCCUAGUGGGCCCGAAACAUCCAUCUUUCCACGAGUGUGGUCAGGAGAUUAGGACUGUUAUAAAUGAAGUGCAAAGAGAUUUACUAUUCCAAGCAGAAUUUUGCAGUCAGUAAGAUGUUAAAGAUUAUCUAAAGAAUAUCAAGUCAAAUCCAGAAGUCUCAGCUGAAGGUGUUUCUUCUUUAACAUACAGAUUUUAUACUGCCCAUCAAUGAGGGUAGGCCUUGGGACAGAUUUAUUCUAAGAAAUGAGGAUAGAGUAGAGAAAGAAAAAGUCUGAAGCUCUUCUUAUGGGGCUGCAGAGCUGGGAGACUUUCAGAAAUAUGAGAAAGGAAAUAAGAGAGGCAGAUGACACAUGAGUUUUCAUGUUUUCUCUCCAAACAGAUAGGCAGUCUGGAAAAGCUAAGGAUGUGGGCUUUUGACUAGAAUAAUGUUUGGGACUCUGAAAGGGGUUUGCCUUGGAUGACUGCCCUGCACAGCUUCAAGAUGGCCACAUCGGGGGAAACACAGUGGCACAGUGUGGUGACAGAGGGCUGAUGUUCAGUAUCUGAGUCAUUCUUCAUGUGUGGCAUGAAUAGAGCUAUUUGUUCUAAGGAGGGACUUUGGAGGUGGCUAAAUGGAGUUGGAUAGUCUGCCAUGUGGCCAGUUUUGUUGGUGAUUCUGCAGAUGAACUACCUGCACCAGGAGUCUGAGGGAGGAUGUUACAGGAAUGCAGAGAGGUCUACAGUACAAGUAGGAGUUAAAAUGAGGUCAACUCUCAGCCUGGCAUGGUGACUUGGGCCUGUAAUCCCAGAAUUUUGGGAGUCUGAGGUGGGAGGAUUGCUUGAGCUCAGGAGUUUGAGACCAGCCUGGGCAACAUAGCCAAACCAUCUCUACAAAAAAUAAAAAAAUUAUGUGAGUGUGGUGGUGAGCACCUGUAGAUCCAGCUACUUGGGAGGCUGAAGUGGGAGGAGUGCUUGAGCCUGGGAGGCCAAGGCUGCAGUGAGCCAUGAUUGCAUCACUGCAGUCCAGCCUGAGUGACAGAGCAAAACCCUGUCUCAAAAAAAAAAAAAAAAAAUGAGGUCAACUCAGCCACUGAUUACUGCUAGAUGCUGACCAAGUUAGAGAGGACAACCCAGUGGAUUAAACCUUUCUCCAAAUUAAGCCACAUUGCUAGCAUGUCAGUGAUGAUCAAGAGGUCAAAGUAGUGAGUGAGGGCUAAAGAAGUGAGAGCACACUUAAUAUCAGAAAUAUUUCAGUCCAUGGGCAAAAGGAUAUUCUUACCAUGGGUAAGAGGAGGAAGUUUGCAGAAAUCUGAAACACUGAAACAAUUCUCUUAAAGACACUGGGAAAGGCUUCAGUGUCCAAACUGUUUUAAACCAAAUGAGUCUGUUUUUAAUUUUUUCUCCAACUGGAGAAAAUUGAAAAUUGUUUUGGUUGGGGCCAAGGGUGAAGGAGUCUUGAAGAACAUUGGAUCAGAUAUACCAAAUGACCAAUUUGAUAGAUUGAUUGAUUGACUAAUUUUUUUUUAAACUUUUAAGUUACUAUGGGAGUAAAUUCAUUACUUUGCUACAAAUGUUGUGGGAAAGUGGACAAGUCAAUGCACUACUGUGAAUACUUAUUCACUAAUUCACGUUUCCAUUUGGAAAAAUAAAGGAGUUGGGCUGCAUAAUUCUUAAGGUCUUCUUUAGUUGAGAGAACCUAUAUGUAUUUAUAGUCUGUCCUUCUUAUGUAGAGAACACGAAUGUCUAAUUAUUUACAUUUAUUUUUAUGAUAGAAUUAAAACGAUGUAUUAAGCUGGCCUUUUUUCAGACAUACUUGCAACCAGAGUCAUCAAUUUUGAAGACAGCAACCAAGCCAAGCAAUGUGAGGUUACAGCUAUGAAAUAGAACAGAGAUGUCUAGACUAUAGACACAGCCUGCCGUUUUGUGCUGAUUGGUAAAGUGUUCCAGCCAACUGGAAGCAAAUAUUUCUCAGAAGCAGUUUCCUGCUCUCAUCCUCUCCUCGCCAUGCCCACUGUGCCCAACAUGGCUCCAGCUGGGUCACAGAAGACUUUGUCCUGGAAUACAGCAUUUCCCUAUUUAAAUCUCUAACUUUGUAUGUACUCUUUUCAAUAAAAGCAUAUUUUUCAUUACCAUUCUGACCAUACUCCCUUCUCUGCUGGCUCCACAGCUAAGGUUUCUGCACCUGUUCCAUAACUUCUGGGAUCUGUCUCUGUUGCUGCACGUAUGCAUUCCAUAAGCAUUAAUAGAUCCAUUCACUCUUCUGAAAUCUGGGCAGCUUAAAUCAUAUUACAUCUAACGUAUUUUUACUAGAGUCAGUUCUACCCCCCGACUCUUGAGUGCACACACAGGCACUUCUCUGUAAGUUCCUUGAGGUCAGAAAUAGUCCCCUAGUCAGCCUUCUGCCUUCUGUAGUUCCUGGUCCAUCAAGGUGCAGAGUACAUAUUCCACAGAUAAAUAGAUAACUCUCAUUCAAUGCUCUGAUCUUUCCUUUAUCUUGUUUCCCUGGAUAUUCCUCUUUCACGGCUCUUUUCUAUUUAAUUU
rnacentral:lncRNA from 10 species